rnacentral:rRNA from 1 species
UACGGAGGGGGCUAGCGUUGUUCGGAAUUACUGGGCGUAAAGCGCACGUAGGCGGCCUGUUAAGUCGAACGUGAAAUCCCCGGGCUCAACCCGGGAACUGCGUCCGAUACUGGCAGGCUUGAAUCCGGGAGAGGGAUGCGGAAUUCCAGGUGUAGCGGUGAAAUGCGUAGAUAUCUGGAGGAACACCGGUGGCGAAGGCGGCAUCCUGGACCGGUAUUGACGCUGAGGCGCGAAAGCCAGGGGAGCAAACGGG